AUUGAACGCUGGCGGCAUGCCUUACACAUGCAAGUCGAACGGCAGCGGACCUUCGGGUGCCGGCGAGUGGCGAACGGGUGAGUAAUAUAUACGGGAACGUACCUUUCAAGGUGGGGGGAUAACGUAGCGAAAGUUACGCUAAUACCGCAUAUUCUGUGAGCAGGAAAGCAGGGGAUCGCAAGACCUUGCGCUGAUUGAGCGGCCGAUAUCAGAUUAGCUAGUUGGUGAGGUAAAGGCUCACCAAGGCGACGAUCUGUAGCGGGUCUGAGAGGAUGAUCCGCCACACUGGAACUGAGACACGGUCCAGACUCCUACGGGAGGCAGCAGUGGGGAAUUUUGGACAAUGGGCGCAAGCCUGAUCCAGCCAUGCCGCGUGAGUGAAGAAGGCCUGG
rnacentral:rRNA from 1 species